GACGAACGCUGGCGGCGCGCUUAACACAUGCAAGUCGAGCGAGAACCAGGGCUUCGGCCCUGGGGAAAGCGGCGAACGGGUGAGUAACACGUGAGUAAUCCACCCUCGGCACCGGGAUAGCCCGGGGAAACCCGGAUUAAUACCGGAUGGCCCGCCGGCCCUGCGGGGCUGGUGGAAAAGGUAGCUUCGGCCUCCGGCCGAGGACGAGCUCGCGGCGGAUUAGCUUGUUGGCGGGGUAACGGCCCACCAAGGCGACGAUCCGUAGCUGGUCUGAGAGGGCGAUCAGCCACACUGGGACUGGGACACGGCCCAGACUCCUACGGGAGGCAGCAGUGGGGAAUCUUGCGCAAUGGGCGAAAGCCUGACGCAGCGACGCCGCGUGAGGGAAGAAGGCCUUCGGGUUGUAAACCUCUUUCAGUAGGGACGAAGCCACUCGGGUGAAUAGCCCAGAGGGUGACGGUACCUACAGAAGAAGCCCCGGCUAACUACGUGCCAGCCGCCGCCGUAACAC
rnacentral:rRNA from 1 species